rfam:Camelus ferus unplaced genomic scaffold scaffold1842, whole genome shotgun sequence.
GGAGUUAUAGCUUAAAUGGUAGAGCCCAUGCUUAGCAGGCAUGAGGUCCUGGGUUUAACCCCCAGUAUCUCCU